rnacentral:tRNA from 1 species
GUCUCUGUGGCGCAAUCGGUUAGCGCGUUCGGCUGUUAACUAAAGGGUUGGUGGUUCAAGCCCACCCAGGGACG